rnacentral:rRNA from 1 species
AUUGAACGCUGGCGGCAGGCUUAACACAUGCAAGUCGAGCGGGGUGAUGGUGCUUGCACUAUCACUUAGCGGCGGACGGGUGAGUAAUGCUUAGGAAUCUGCCUAUUAGUGGGGGACAACACCUCGAAAGGGAUGCUAAUACCGCAUACGUCCUACGGGAGAAAGCAGGGGAUCACUUGUGACCUUGCGCUAAUAGAUGAGCCUAAGUCGGAUUAGCUAGUUGGUGGGGUAAAGGCCUACCAAGGCGACGAUCUGUAGCAGGUCUGAGAGGAUGAUCCGCCACACUGGGACUGAGACACGGCCCAGACUCCUACGGGAGGCAGCAGUGGGGAAUAUUGGACAAUGGGGGGAACCCUGAUCCAGCCAUGCCGCGUGUGUGAAGAAGGCCUUAUGGUUGUAAAGCACUUUAAGCGAGGAGGAGGCCCUUUUGGUUAAUACCCAAGAUGAGUGGACGUUACUCGCAGAAUAAGCACCGGCUAACUCUGUGCCAGCCGCCGCCGUAA